AACGAACGCUGGCGGCAGGCUUAACACAUGCAAGUCGAACGCUCGUAGCAAUACGGGAGUGGCGGACGGGUGAGUAACGCGUGGGAACGUGCCCUGAGGUACGGAAUAACUGCGGGAAACUGCAGCUAAUACCGUAUGAGCCCCGCAAGGGGGAAAGAUUUAUCGCCUUAGGAGCGGCCCGCGGCGGAUUAGCUAGUUGGUGGGGUAACGGCUUACCAAGGCUUCGAUCCGUAGCUGGUCUGAGAGGACGAUCAGCCACACUGGGACUGAGACACGGCCCAGACUCCUACGGGAGGCAGCAGUGGGGAAUCUUGCGCAAUGGGGGCAACCCUGACGCAGCCAUGCCGCGUGAAUGAUGAAGGCCUUAGGGUUGUAAAGUUCUUUUGCCCGUGACGAUGAUGACGGUAACGGGAGAAUAAGCUCCGGCUAACUUCGUGCCAGCCGCCGCGGUAAAAC
rnacentral:rRNA from 1 species